GAUUAACGCUGGCGGCGUGCAUAACACAUUCCUUUCGAACGGAGAGGGAGGACUUCGGUUCUCCCGAUCAGUGGCGGACGGGUGAGUAACGCGUGAGCAACCUGCUCUUGUGUGCGGGAUACCAACUGGAAACGGUUGUUAAUACCGCAUGACCCAAUAGUAUCGCAUGGUACAGUUGGCAAAGAUUUAUUGCACAAGGAUGGGCUCGCGUCUGAUUAGAUAGUUGGUGAGGUAACGGCUCACCAAGUCGACGAUCAGUAGCCGGACUGAGAGGUUGAACGGCCACAUUGGAACUGAGAUACGGUCCAGACUCCUACGGGAGGCAGCAGUGGGGAAUAUUGGGCAAUGGGCGAAAGCCUGACCCAGCGACGCCGCGUGAGGGAAGAAGGCCUUCGGAUUGUAAACCUUAAACAACAGGGACGAAACAAAUGACGGUACCUGUUAGGAAGCCACGGCUAACUACGUGCCAGCAGCCGCGGUAAUACGUAGGUGGCAAGCGUUAUCCGGAUUUACUGGGUGUAAAGGGUGUGUAGGCGGAGAGGCAAGUCAGGCGUGAAAAUUACGGGCUCAACCCGUAACCUGCGCUUGAAACUGUUUCCCUUGAGUGUCGGAGAGGUAAACGGAAUUCCUGGUGUAGCGGUGAAAUGCGUAGAUAUCAGGAGGAACACCGGUGGCGAAGGCGGUUUACUGGACGACAACUGACGCUGAGACACGAAAGUGUGGGGAGCAAACAGGAUUAGAUACCCUGGUAGUCCACACCGUAAACGAUGAAUGCUAGGUGUAGGGGCGCAAGCCUCUGUGCCGCAGCUAACGCAAUAAGCAUUCCACCUGGGGAGUACGGCCGCAAGGUUGAAACUCAAAGGAAUUGACGGGAGCCCGCACAAGCAGUGGAGUAUGUGGUUUAAUUCGAAGCAACGCGAAGAACCUUACCAGGUCUUGACAUCCUCUGAAAACCCUAGAGAUAGGGCGUUCCCCUUCGGGGGACAGAGUGACAGGUGGUGCAUGGUUGUCGUCAGCUCGUGUCGUGAGAUGUUGGGUUAAGUCCCGCAACGAGCGCAACCCCUAUUGUUAGUUGCUACGCAAGAGCACUCUAGCGAGACUGCCGUUGACAAAACGGAGGGAGGCGGGGACGACGUCAAAUCAUCAUGCCCCUUAUGUCCUGGGCUACACACGUAAUACAAUGGCCGUCAACAAAGGGAAGCAAUACUGCGAAGUGGAGCAAAUCCCCAAAAACGGUCUCAGUUCGGAUUGCAGGCUGCAACUCGCCUGCAUGAAGCUGGAAUAGCUAGUAAUCGUGGAUCAGCAAGCCACGGUGAA
rnacentral:rRNA from 1 species